AACGAGCGCUGGCGGCAGGCCUAACACAUGCAAGUCGAGCGCCCCGCAAGGGGAGCGGCGGACGGGUGAGUAACGCGUGGGAAUUUUCCUCAAGGUACGGAACAACCCAGGGAAACUUGGGCUAAUACCGUAUGAUGCAGAGAUACCAAAGAUUUAUCGCCUUGGGAUAAGCCCGCGUCAGAUUAGGUAGUUGGUGGGGUAACGGCCUACCAAGCCUGCGAUCUGUAGCUGGUCUGAGAGGACGAUCAGCCACACUGGGACUGAGACACGGCCCAGACUCCUACGGGAGGCAGCAGUGGGGAAUCUUGCGCAAUGGGCGAAAGCCUGACGCAGCCAUGCCGCGUGAGUGAUGAAGGUCUUAGGAUUGUAAAGCUCUUUCGCCCGUGACGAUGAUGACGGUAACGGGAGAAGAAGCCCCGGCUAACUUCGUGCCAGCAGCCGCGGUACUACGAAGGGGGCUAGCGUUGUUCGGAAUUACUGGGCGUAAAGCGCGCGUA
rnacentral:rRNA from 1 species